rnacentral:rRNA from 1 species
CGUAGGUGGCAAGCGUUGUCCGGAAUUAUUGGGCGUAAAGCGCGCGCAGGCGGUUCCUUAAGUCUGAUGUGAAAGCCCCCGGCUCAACCGGGGAAGGUCAUUGGAAACUGGGGAACGUUGAGUGCAGAAGAGAAGAGCGGAAUUCCACGUGUAGCGGUGAAAUGCGUAGAGAUGUGGAGGAACACCAGUGGCGAAGGCGGCUCUUUGGUCUGUAACUGACGCUGAGGCGCGAAAGCGUGGGGAGCAAACAGGAUUAGAUACCCUGGUAGUCCACGCCGUAAACGAUGAGUGCUAAGUGUUAGAGGGUUUCCGCCCUUUAGUGCUGCAGCUAACGCAUUAAGCACUCCGCCUGGGGAGUACGGCCGCAAGGCUG